CACUUCGUUCUGAUGCUAAGUUAAUUAAAACUUCUAAACUUCAUAUGGUAAAAUACAUAGCUUUGUGAAUAAUCUACCGAUGUGUCUAAUCAUUUAACAUGCUUAGACCACAACCCUAGAAAAAGAGCACAUAAAACUCUACGGUAAGUUUACCCACAACACCAAUGACUUAUAUUGUCUAUCAGCUAGGAAACUAGGCAACAGAGAUAGUUAUUUACAAGAGACCAAAUAAGGUGCCAGCAGUCGCGGUUACACCUAGUCUUGAAGUUAACUUCCACUAUAAAAGAGGCCACACAUAUAUGAUCUCAACUUUAUCUGCAAAAGUAAAAUUUAAACUUUGAGAAAAUACCCCGACAGAUCUUAUUAUUCUCCUCAACAAACCACAUUAACAAGACAGGGAUUAGAUACCCCAUUAUUGCGUGGCCCAACACCAACAAACUCUAAAAACGAAAGUUCCAAACUUAAAGAACGUGGCGGUGUUCUAUGCCUUAUUAGGGGAUCCUGUGGCUUAAUUCGAUAAUCCACGACCAAUUAAAGCUCUAUUAGCUCACAGCUUAUGUAUGGCCGUUUUUUAAUGCCUGCGCACCAAUGCCACAACAGGAGACAAUUUAAAAGUUAAGCUUUUAAUAAUACAGGUGACAUAUAGCCUAUAUAGAGCAGCUCAUGGGAUACAAAUAAACAUUAUUAUCCGAAAAUAGCUUGAAACUUCUACAAGAAGGAGGACUUAACAGUAAGAUUAAAACAACAUUUUAAUCUGAAUAAGAUCUAGAACGCGCACAAAUCGCCCGUCACUCCCGGCACUAAUCGGGAUAAGUCGUAACAUAGUAGGGGUAACGGAAGUUGCCCCUAAA
rnacentral:ncRNA from 1 species